GAUGAACGCUGGCGGCGUGCCUAAUACAUGCAAGUCGAACGAAACUUCUUUAUCACCGAGUGCUUGCACUCACCGAUAAAGAGUUGAGUGGCGAACGGGUGAGUAACACGUGGGCAACCUGCCCAAAAGAGGGGGAUAACACUUGGAAACAGGUGCUAAUACCGCAUAACCAUAGUUACCGCAUGGUAACUAUGUAAAAGGUGGCUAUACUACCGCUUUUGGAUGGGCCCGCGGCGCAUUAGCUAGUUGGUAGGGUAAAGGCUUACCAAGGCAAUGAUGCGUAGCCGAAUUGAGAGGUUGGUCGGCCACAUUGGGACUGAGACACGGCCCAAACUCCUACGGGAGGCAGCAGUAGGGAAUCUUCCACAAUGGGCGAAAGCCUGAUGGAGCAACGCCGCGUGGGUGAAGAAGGUCUUCGGAUCGUAAAACCCUGUUGUUAGAGAAGAAAGUGCGUGAGAGUAACUGUUCACGUUUCGACGGUAUCUAACCAGAAAGCCACUGCUAACUACGUG
rnacentral:rRNA from 1 species